rnacentral:rRNA from 1 species
UGGGGAAUAUUGGACAAUGGGCGCAAGCCUGAUCCAGCCAUGCCGCGUGAGUGAUGAAGGCCCUAGGGUUGUAAAGCUCUUUCACCGGUGAAGAUAAUGACGGUAACCGGAGAAGAAGCCCCGGCUAACUUCGUGCCAGCAGCCGCGGUAAUACGAAGGGGGCUAGCGUUGUUCGGAUUUACUGGGCGUAAAGCGCACGUAGGCGGACUUUUAAGUCAGGGGUGAAAUCCCGGGGCUCAACCCCGGAACUGCCUUUGAUACUGGAAGUCUUGAGUAUGGUAGAGGUGAGUGGAAUUCCGAGUGUAGAGGUGAAAUUCGUAGAUAUUCGGAGGAACACCAGUGGCGAAGGCGGCUAACUGGACCAUUACUGACGCUGAGGUGCGAAAGCAUGGGGAGCAAACAGG